GGUGAAAGGCUCAGUAACGGGCGAUUUAUUUGUUCUCCUGUGACGGACAACAUCGGGAAACUGAUGGGAAAACGUCUAAGUUGCAGUUAGUUUAUUGUGACGUAAACGAUUUUGUGCAGGAGAGUAAGAUGCCAUCCUAUCAGUUAGUAAGUAGGGUAAGGGCCUACUUAGACGAAGACGGGUACGGGGAAUGAGGGUUUGAUUCCGGAGAGGGAGCCUGAGAGAUGGCUACCAGGACCAAGGUCAGCAGCAGGCGCGAAAAUUAUCGAAGCCCGCCUAGGGGCGAUAGUGAGGAGACGUGUAUAACGAAGUACGUGUAAAGAACGUGCUAAUAACUGGAGGUCAAGUCUGGUGCCAGCAUC
rnacentral:rRNA from 1 species